UACGUAGGGGGCAAGCGUUGUCCGGAAUCAUUGGGCGUAAAGCGCGUGUAGGCGGUCCGGUAAGUCGGCUGUGAAAGUCCAGGGCUCAACCCUGGAAUGCCGGUGGAAACUGUCGGGCUGGAGUCCGGAAGAGGCGAGUGGAAUUCCUGGUGUAGCGGUGAAAUGCGCAGAUAUCAGGAGGAACACCAAUGGCGAAGGCAGCUCGCUGGGACGGUACUGACGCUGAGACGCGAAAGCGUGGGGAGCAAACAGG
rnacentral:rRNA from 1 species